rnacentral:tRNA from 1 species
UCCGCUGUGGUGUAAUUGGCAGCACAGGGGCUUUUGGUGCCUCUUGUCCGGGUUCGAGUCCUGGCAGCGGAG